rnacentral:misc_RNA from 1 species
GGAAGGAUCAUUCACAUUGAAGGAUCCGUUGUUUAUCGUCUGCUCUGAAAAUUGUUUUCAGGUGAAAAUCCAUAUUGUCUCACCAAUAUAUAUCUAGGUUCCCAUAACGAAGAAGGACGUAGCAAUAUGCGUCAAUACAAUGUGACUUGCGGAAUUCAGAGAAUCAUCAGGUUGCUGAACGUAUUUUUUACAUUUGACUCCAGUCAGAUGUAUAUAUGUUUCAGGAUCAUGUCAUACAAAUAAUACUGUGUUCCAACAUAGUAUCUUUCACCAAUGUUACUGUAUGUUGACAUUGCUUCAACGAACACUUUCGAAACAAACUAAUUGGAAAGUGUUAUAGUUUCCUUCACAGAUCUGUAUUCAUAGAAGAUUACCCACUGAAUUUAAGCAUAUUAUUGAGUGGAGGUGAAAAGAAAGUAAAUACUAUUUCUUGAGUAAUGGCGAAUGAAAAAGAAUGUGCUCAUUAUGAAAAUCUGCUACAAGUAGUAGCUGAGUUGUAGUUUUGUGGAUGUCAACCAGUCGAAAUUCAAAGGGAAGUCUCUUGGAAUGGAGUAUAGUAAAAGGUGAAAAUCCUUUUAAUACUUUGCAAUUUUCGAUUUACGGUCGACAUUUUACGAGUCGCGCUCUUUUGAACUGGAGCGUUAAAGAAAGAUAUUUUUCUUUCAAAGCUUGAUACUGAUGGGAAGCCAAUAGAAAACAAGUACCAUGAGGGAAAGAUGAAAAGAACUUUGGAAAGAGAGUGAAAAGUGUUUGAGAUUGUUGAGAUAGAAGUUUAUGGUGUCUCGUAUUUUGCAACGGAUUUAUUCAUGUGGAUGGUUACAAGAGAAAUUCUUUUGUUCAUUCACUGAAAUGGAUCUAGUUGCUUUAUAGUGUAUAUCAUUAUUCAGAACCCAUACAUAGAAGCUUGUGGUUUAUUCUUGGAUUUACACUGCUGCUUCUAUCAAAUUCUGAAUAACUGAUCCAACAAUGGGAGCUCUACUGUUCAGUACUCUCAUUGAAUUAUAUACAGUGAGAUAUCAUAAGUCCCGUCUUGAAACACGGACCAAGGAGUCUAGCAUGUGUGCGAGUGUUAUAUAUGAAUUAUGAUUGGCUCAAUGAAAGUGAAAUUUUUCAGAUUCAAACAGAAUACCAACCUCUACUAGUGAGAAUUGAGUAUGAGCAUAUUUGCUAGAACCCGAAAGAUGGUGAACUAUGCCUGAAUAGGGUGAAGUCAGGGGAAACCCUGAUGAAGGCUCGUAGCGAUACUGACGUGCAAAUCGUUCGUCAAAUUUGGGUAUAGGGGCGAAAGACUAAUCGAACCAUCUAGUAGCUGGUUCCUUU